AGUGAACGCUGGCGGUAGGCCUAACACAUGCAAGUCGAACGGCAGCACAGUAAGAGCUUGCUCUUACGGGUGGCGAGUGGCGGACGGGUGAGGAAUACAUCGGAAUCUACUUUUUCGUGGGGGAUAACGUAGGGAAACUUACGCUAAUACCGCAUACGACCUACGGGUGAAAGCAGGGGAUCUUCGGACCUUGCGCGAUUGAAUGAGCCGAUGUCGGAUUAGCUAGUUGGCGGGGUAAAGGCCCACCAAGGCGACGAUCCGUAGCUGGUCUGAGAGGAUGAUCAGCCACACUGGAACUGGGACACGGUCCAGACUCCUACGGGAGGCAGCAGUGGGGAAUAUUGGACAAUGGGCCCAAACCUGAUCCAGCCAUACCGCGUGGGUGAAGAAGGCCUUCGGGUUGUAAAGCCCUUUUGUUGGGAAAGAAAAGCAGCAGGUUAAUACCCCGCUGUUCUGACGGUACCCAAAGAAUAAGCACCGGCUAACUUCGUG
rnacentral:rRNA from 1 species